ACGCUCGACACCUACGGGAGCAGCAGUGGGGAAUAUUGCACAAUGGGGGAAACCCUGAUGCAGCGACGCCGCGUGAGUGAAGAAGUAUUUCGGUAUGUAAAGCUCUAUCAGCAGGGAAGAAGAUGACGGUACCUGAGUAAGAAGCCCCGGCUAACUACGUGCCAACAGCCGCGGUAAUCUGAGCGGCUGGCAAGGC
rnacentral:rRNA from 1 species